GACGAGUCCCAAACAGGACGAAACAGCUGUC
rfam:Echinostoma caproni strain Egypt genome assembly, scaffold: ECPE_contig0000852